rnacentral:rRNA from 1 species
GAUGAACGCUGNCAGAAUGCUUAACANAUGCAAGUCAACUUGANNUUCGGUUUGGGUGGCGGACNNNNGAGUAACGNGUANNNAACUUGCCUCACAGAUAGGGACAUCAUUCGGAAACGAAUGCUAAUACCUGAUAUUAUGAUUUUCGGGCAUCCUAGGAUUAUGACAGCUAUAUGCCCUGUGAGAGAGCUUUGCGUCCCANNAGCUAGUUGGAGAGGUAACGGCUCACCAAGGCGAUGAUGUGUAGCNNNCCUGAGAGGGUGAUCGGCCACAAGUGGACUGAGACACGGCCCUUACUCAUANNNGAGGCAGCAGUCGGGUAUAUUGGACAAUGGACCAAGAGUCUGAUCCAGCAAUUCUGUGUGCACGAUGAAGUUUUUCGGAAUGUAAAGUGCUUUCAGUUGGGAAGAAAAAAAUGACGGUACCAACAGAAGAAGUGACGGCUAAAUACGUGCCAGCAGCCGCGGUAAUACGUAUGUCCCAAGCGUUAUCCGGAUUUAUUGGGCGUAAAGCNCGUCUAGGUGGNUAUGUANNNUNGAUGUGAAAAUGCAGGGUUCAACUCUGUAUUNCNUUGGAAACUGUGUAACUAGAGUANNNGAGAGGUAAGCGGANNNACAAGUGUAGAGGUGAAAUUCGUAGAUAUUUGUAGGAACNCCGAUGGGGAAGCCAGCUUUCUGGACAGAUACUGACGCUGAAGCUCGAAAGCGUGGGUAGCAAACAGG